AAGAUGCCAUUCAAGGUGGCAAAGACCUGCUAUGAGUAUAAAGAUUACGUGGGUGAGUCUUCCUUCUUGCUUUGCCUGUCAGAUUAACUCUGAUUAGAGUCUGAAGUGAAUCUGUUUCUGAUCUUUCUUCACUACAGAAUUACUGAGGGAGCUGCAUGAGAACAGGGAAGAGUACAUCAGAUGUUCGACAAAGGUAUUUGAAGAAGAUAAAUGCCACAAGAUGUACACACGACUAUUUGGCAAGGUGCUCAAGUCAAAAUGUAAGUAGUGUUUAAGUUAACCAUAGUGUUUAAAACUUUAUUAUGUUCAUGUAUUGAUCAAUAGA
rnacentral:lncRNA from 1 species